rnacentral:rRNA from 1 species
UACGUAGGGUGCAAGCGUUGUCCGGAAUUAUUGGGCGUAAAGAGCUUGUAGGCGGUUUGUCGCGUCUGCUGUGAAAUUUCGGGGCUCAACCCCGAACUUGCAGUGGGUACGGGCAGACUAGAGUGUGGUAGGGGAGACUGGAAUUCCUGGUGUAGCGGUGAAAUGCGCAGAUAUCAGGAGGAACCCCGAUGGCGAAGGCAGGUCUCUGGGCCAUAACUGACGCUGAGAAGCGAAAGCAUGGGGAGCGAACAGG